GGCACUGUGGCUUAGCGGGUCAACGCACCUGUCUCGUAUACAGAAGGUCCUGGGUUCAAAUCCCAGCAGCGCCU